GAUGAACGCUGGCGGCGUGCCUAAUACAUGCAAGUCGAGCGCAGCGGGGACGGGUGAGUAACGCGUGGAUAACCUCCUUUAAGACUGGGAUAACUUCGGGAAACCGGAGCUAAACCGGAUACUUGUGUAUGGCUGUUGGUUGCAUUAGCGAGGUGGUAAGGUAACGGCUUACCAAGGCAACGAUGCAUAGCCGACCUGAGAGGGUGAUCGGCCACACUGGAACUGAGACACGGACCAGACUCCUACGGGAGGCAGCAGUAGGGAAUCUUCCGCAAUGGGCGAAAGCCUGACGGAGCAACGCCGCGUGAGUGAUGAAGGUCUUCGGAUCGUAAAACUCUGUUAUUAGGGAAGCGGUACCUAAUCAGAAAGCCACGGCUAACUACGUGCCAGCAGCCGCGGUAAUUC
rnacentral:rRNA from 1 species